rnacentral:lncRNA from 1 species
UCCGAAUAGCCUGCUGGGAGCAAUCAACCCUCAAUGGUGGGACCUGAAGCUCUUAAAUUUGCACACAGGGUGCAGGGAGUAAAGUGAGUACUCCAACUCAGUGAGUAAUAACAAUAAAUAAAGACUGAGCGAUAAGAAAUCACGUAAAACACAACAACAUGCUAUAAAGAGGUAGUGUAAAACCAAUAAAAAGCAAUAAAAUAGUGAAAUCUUAUAAAAACACCUUAGUUAAGUAUAAGCUUCUUUAAAACACAUUUUUAACAUCUAAACAAGUAAAUGAAAAGCAACAAGAAAGAUACACACAUAAAAUCCGCCCCUCGGGCACAAUGUUAACAAAAUCAGCCCCUCGAGCAAUAACAUGGAACAACACCAGCCCAUCGGGCUAUAUCACAUAUCACACUAGGUACCCGCGCUCACUAGGGGUGUACAGACUCCGGGAGGGGCCCCUUACGGCCCAAGCACAAUAUCAAGUCAUCUCGUGGCAUAAUCAAUAGGCUCUCGGCCUCACAUCAAGCCACAUUGUGGCGUACAACUUAGGCCCUCGACCUUAUAAUCAUAAUCAGUACAACACUGCUGCGGCCUGAAGCCUGAUCACAUAAUAAUCCUCACAACACAGGCCCUCGGCCAUACUCAGUCAGAAAUCUCUAAAAGCCACUCGGGCAAAGUAAAACAUGAUGCUCGGCCCCAAAAUAUCAUAUAAGAUGUCAAAACAGAAUAAACAUGGAUGGGUUAUAAAAACAAUAAAGUAUAGCAUGACUGAGUACAAGUAUAAAGUUAAAACAGUGAGGAAAUAGUAGUAAAAGUCCCCUAAGGAUCAAAACAGUUGGUACGAGGCCCAAAUAUGGCAUUCAGCCCAAAACAUGAUGAUAGCAAAUAAUUUUCAAUCAAAUAUGUAGUAAAAUAGUCAUACGGGAUGGACUAAGUCACAAUCUCCAACGGUGCACGACCCCAUGCUCAUCAUCUAGCAUAUGCGUCACCUCAAUACAACACAACAAUGUGAAAUCUGGGGUUUCAUACCCUUAGGACAACAUUUACAAUCAUUACUCACCUCUACCCGAUCCGAACUCUAGCCCACGAUGCCCUUGCCUCUCGAAUCGGCCUCCGGAUGCUCCAACUCUAACCAAAAUCACUGCAAACCCAUAGAAAUAUGCUAAGGUAACAAAGCCCACUCGAAAGAAAUCAAAUUACAACCCAAAUCCCAAAAUUGGCUAAAUAUGACCCCCAGGCCCACAUCUCGGAAUCCAAUUAAAAUUACAUCAAUAGACUCCUUAUCACUCCCCGAGUUCAUUCAUAUCAAAAUCACCAAAAUCCAACCACAAACGACCCCUCAAAUCCCAAAUUCUAGGUCUCCAAUUACAAGCCCUAGUUCUUCAAUAUUUAGGCUUAAAUUCUAGAAAUUCCAUGGUUAAUUAGGUAGAAAUCACAUUAUAAUUGAGUAUUAAAUCCGUAAAUCUUACCUCCAAGUUUUCCCCCUUGAUUCCCUCUUCAAUCGUCUUCAAAAAGCUUCAAAAUCACCCAAAAAUGGAGGAACUUAUGCUCAAAAUCACGGAAUAGGCCUUUUAAACAUUCUACCCAGCUAUUUCAAUUCCUUCUUUGCGAAUUCGGUCAACGCCUUGCAUUCGCGAAUCGUAAACUUAAGUUGACAAAUUUUCCUUCUUCGCGAACACGUCUCUCCUCUCGCGAACGUAAAGGCUCAACUUCCCAGCCAAUCGCGAAUGCAGCUCCCAUCUCGCAAACGCGUAGCUUGAUGCCCCCAACCCUUCGCGAACGCGGGACCUCCCUCGCGAACGUGAAGGCCAAACCUUUAGCCUCACAUUCUAGCCCUUAGCGAACAUGAAGGUCCACUCACGAACGCGAAGCACUACUGUUUGCAACACUACAACAAAUGUUUCUGCAAUUUAUUCAACAUGAAAUGGUCCGUUUGACCACCCAAAACUCACCUGAGGCCCUCGGGACCUCAACCAAACAUGGCAACAUGUCCCAUAACAUCAUUCAAACUUGUUCCAACCUUUGGAACGCUCAAAACAACAUCAAAACACCAAAUUUGCAUCGGAUUCAAGCCUAAGAAUUCUAAAAACUUCCAAAUUCCGCUUUUGAUCAAAAAGUCUACCAAACCACGUCCGAAUGACCUAAAUCCCAAAUGACACAAAGGACCUACUGCAACUCCCUAAAUUCCAUUCCGAACCCUAUAUCAAAAUCUCACCUAUCAACCGGAAAUCGCCAAAAUUCCAAUUUUGCCAAUUCAAGCCUAAAUCCACUCCUGACCUCCAAAACACAUUCCGAUCACGCUCCUAAGUCCCAAAUCACCUCCCGAAGCUAUCCGAACCAUCAGAAAUCACAUCUGAUACCUUUAACACAUAAGUCAACAUCCGGUUGACUUUUUCAACUUAAGCUUCCUCAAAAUAGACUAAGUGUCUCAAACCUUACCUAAACCUCUCCGAACCCGAGUCAACCAACCUGAUAAUACAAAAUACAACUGAACAAGGCAAUAAGAAGCAAAAAUUGGGGAAAUGGAGCGGUAACUCAUAAAACGACCGGUCGGGUCGUUACAUCCUCUCCCUCUAAAACAAAUGUUCAUCCUCGAACGAGUCAAGAAACACACCGGAUACCUCAAAUAUGAGAGGAUAUCUUCUCCGCAUAUCCCCUUCGGUCUGCCAGGAAGCCUCCUCCACGAGCCGACCUCUCCACUGCACUUUCAUUUAAAUUAUAUCCUUUGACCUCAACUUUCGAACCUGAUGCUCCAAAAUAGCUACUGGCUUCACAUCAUAAGUCAAAUCAUCAUCUAGUUGAACCGUGCUAAAAUCUAAAACGUAAGACGGAUCCCUAAUAUAUUUCCGGAGAAUAGAAACAUGAAAUACCAGAUGCACACUUGACAAGCUGGGUGGCAAAGCAAGCUCAUAAGCCACCUCCCCAAUCCUCCGAAGCACCUCAAACGGCCCAAUGAACCGAGGACUCAAUUGACCCUUCUUACCAAAUCUCAUAACACCCUUCAUGGAUGAACGCUUCAACAGAACCUUCUCACCAACCAUGUAGGAUACAUCCCGAAUCUUCCGGUCAGCAUAACUCUUUUGUCUCGACUGCCCAUUAUGAAGCCUCUCCUGAAUUACCUUCACCUUUUCUAAAGUAUCCUGCACCAAGUCUGUCCCCAAUAGCCUAGCCUCACCCGGCCCAAACCAACCAACUGGAGAUCUACACCGCCUCCCAUACAAAGCCUCAUAUGGAGCCAUUUGAAUGCUCGACUGGUAGCUAUUGUUAUAAGCAAACUCCGCGAGCGGUAGAAACUGAUUCCAUGACCCUCUAAAAUCAAUAACACAAGCACACAAUAUGUCCUCCAAUAUCUGAAUAGUGUGCUCGGACUGCCCCUCCAUCUGAGGGUGAAAAACGUGCUCAACUCAACUUGAGUACCCAACUCUCGCUGCACAGACCUCCAAAACUGCAAGGUAAAUUGAGUGCCCCUAUCUGAAAUGAUGGAAAAUAGGACAUCAUACAAACAAACAAUCUCCUGGAUAUAGAUCUUUGCCAACCGCUCUAAAGUAUAGGUAGUACACACAGGAAUGAAGUGCACGGACUUGGUCAGCUGAUCCACAAUCAUCCAAAUAGCAUCGGACUUCUGCAAAGUCCGUGAGAGCCCAACUACAAAGUCCAUGGUGAUACACUCCCACUUCCACUCUAGAAUAUCCAUUUGUUGAAGCAAGCCACCCGGUCUCUGAUGCUCAUAUUUCACCAGCUGACAAUUGAGACACUAAGACACAAAUCCCACAAUGUCCUUCUUCAUUCUCCUCCAGCAAUAAUGUUGUCUUAGAUCUUGAUACAUCUUUGCAGCACCAGGAUGAAUGGAAUACCGCGAGCUAUGGGCCUCCUCCAGAAUCAAAUCCCGAAGACUAUCUAUAUUGGGCACACAUAUCCGGCCCUGCAUCCUCAACACCCCAUCAUCAUCAACAGUCACAUCUCUGGCAUUAUCGUGCUGAACUUUGUCCUUAAGGACUAGCAAAUGAGGAUCAUCAUAUUGGCGCUCUCUGAUACGAUGAAAUAAAGGAAGACCGAGAAAUCACACAAGCCAAUACCCGACUGGGAUCCGAAAUAUCCAACCUCACGAACCAAUUGGCCAAGGCCUGAACAUCAACUGGAAGAGGUCUCUCCCCAACUGGAAUAUAUGCCAAACUCCCCAUACUCGCGCCUUCUUACUCAAAGCAUCGGCCACCACAUUGGCCUUUCCCGAAUGGUACAAAAUAGUAAUAUCAUAAUCCUUUAGCAACUCCAACCAUCUCCGCUAUCUCAAAUCGAGAUCUUUCUGCUUGAACAAGUGCUGGAGGCUAUGAUGAUCAGUAAAAAACUCACAAGACACACCAUACAAAUAAUGCCUCCAAAUCUUCAACGCGUGAACAAUGGCAGCCAACUCCAAAUCGUGAACAGGGUAGUUCUUCUCAUGGGGCUUCAACUGACGAGAAGCAUAAGCAAUAACUUUACCCUCCUGCAUCAACACACACCCAAUACCAACUCUCAAAGCAUUACAAUAUACGGUAUAUGAACCUGAAGCUGAUGGCAAAACAAAUAUUGGAGUUGUGGUCAAGGCAGUCUUAAGCUUCUGAAAGCUCUCCUCACACUCAUUUGACCACUUGAAUAGAGCACCCUUUUGAGUCAACUUGGUCAAGGGCGAUGCGAAAGAUGCGAAUCCCUGAACAAACCGGCGGUAAUAACCCGCCAAACCAAGAAAGAUACGAAUCUCUGUGGCCGAGGACGAUCUGGAUCAACUCUGAACAGCCUCUAUCUUCUUCGGAUCAACCUGAUACCCUCACUGGACACCACGUGCCCCAAGAAAGCCACUGAACUGAGCUAAAACUCACAGUUGGAGAACUUUGCAUAAAGCUUCUCCUCCCUCAAUCUCUGCAACACAACUCUCAAAUGCUCCGCGUGCACCUUCUGACUAUGCGAAUACACCAGAAUAUCAUCAAUGAAAACUAUGAUGAACGAGUCGAGAUACGGUCGGAACAUAUUGUUCAUCAAAUGCAUAAACGCUGCUGGGGCAUUGGCCAGCCCAAAAGACAUCACCAAUAACUCAUAAUGACCAUAUCGGGUCCUGAAAACCGUCUUAAGAAUAUCCAAGUCCCUGAUCUUCAACUAGUGAUAACCUGAACAGAGAUCAAUCUUGGAGAACACUCUCGCUCCCUGAAGCUGCUCAAACAAAUCAUUGAUACAAGGCAAAGGAUAAUUGUUCUUGAUUGUUAUUUUGUUCAACUGCUUGUAAUCAAUGCAUAUCCUCAUAGUUCCAUCCUUCUUCACAAAUAAAACCGGUGCACCCCAAGGCGAUACACUAGGCCGAAUGAACCCCAUAUCAAGGAGUUCCUGAAACUGCUCCUUUAACUCCUUCAACUCCGAUGGUGCCAUAAGAUACAGUGGAAUAGAAAUGGGCUGAGUUCCCAGCACCAGAUCAAUACAAAAAUCACUAUCCUUGUCCGGUGGCAUGCCUGGCACGUCAGCAGGAAACACAUCGGGAAACUCCCUCACAACAUGAAUAGAAUCAAUACUUGGAGUCUCUGCACCGACAUCCCUAACAAAGGCUAGAUAUGAAAGACAACCCUUCCCAACCAUCCGCUUGGCCUUCAAGAAUGAAAUUACCCUAUUGGAAACAUAAUCAGUCGAACCUCGCCACUCAAUCCGUGGCACACCUAACAUAGCCAAUGUCAUUGUCUUAGCAUGACUGUCCAAAAUAGCACGACACGAAGAUACCAAUACAUGCCCAAUAAAACAUCGAAGUCUACCAUACAUAACAAAAACAGAUCCACUCGAGUCUCCAGACCCCCAAUAGUCACCACAUAUGACCGGUACAUGCGAUCUACAACAACAGUAUCGCCCACCGGAGUAGAUACACGAACAGAUGAAACGAGAGACUCACAGGGUAUAUCUAAAUAACGAGCAAAGUAUUAUGACACAUAAGAAUAAGUGGAACCGGGAUCAAAUAAUACAGAGGCAUCUCUGUGGCAGUCUGAGAUAAUACCUGUGAUCACGGAGUCUGAAGCAAUAGCAUCGGGUAUGUCAUACCUCCUUUUUCCUACAACCUCGUAAGGGAGUAUAAAGGGAGUUUUUUCAACUUAAAGUGAAAAUCGAAACGAGAUUAUUUAUUUAUUAAACUCAGAGUCGCCACUUGGGAUAAAUUAUGGUGUCCCAAGUCACCGGUUCAAAUCCCAAAUCGAGGAAAAGAUUGAUUCUGUAUUACAGUAUGCGAACAUAGAAAUCGGGGUAAGGAAUUCUGUUAACUCGGGAGAAGGUGUUAGGCAUUCCCGAGUUUCGUGGUUCUAGCACGGUUGCUCAACUGUUAUAAUUUGCCUAUUAUCUGAUUUUAAUACAUGUUUUAGCCUAUGGUGCCAUUUUAACUUAUUAACCGCUCUUAUUCAUUUUUAGGAAGAUUGUAACGUCAUUUAAAAUAUGUCUUGAACCACGUCACAUAAAUGCACCCGCAGUCCGCAACACAUUUUAUAUAACAUUGUCGAGAUUUGGAUUUGGGUCACAUAAAUGCGCACCCGAGUUUAGGAAGGUAAAUUAUUAAAUAGCGCGUCUAAAGAAACUACGAUGCAUUCAUUUCCUAUACUAAUCUAUUAUGGAGGUCAUGAUUUAAGGAUUGAACUACAGUACGCCCGCUAUUUUACAUUGUAACAAGACUAAGAAAUUUCAACACUUUUAUCUAUUUUUUUAAUCCUUAAGCAAAUGAUGUUGUAUCUACUAUCUACUAUAUUUACAUCCUCAUUUCACACCAAAAAGCUAAAAGACAAAUAUAUAUAUAUGUAUUAUAAAAUAUGUUGUUCCCUACUUUGCUGUCAAAGCAUAAGUUCCAUUUUUUCCAUAUAAUCCAUCUUAUAUUAUCUCAAAUAAAUAGCAACAACAAUAAGUGAAACAAAAUAUAAGAAUGGAAAUAAAAUUAAUUUUAAGGUGAAAUAUAGGUAAACAAAAAGAUCACAUAUAAGACAAAUCACAAACAUUAUUAAUAAAUCAUUUUAAAAGAGAGGACAGAAACAUUCGCAUUUUUGGAUUCAUGAUUUUUGACGCCAAAGUUUAUAAAUUCAAGCUAACCUUACCUGCCAAAUCAUUUUUCAUUAAUCUCACGCCUAAUUUUCAACCCCUGUCAGUGGAUACCAUUCCAAUUCUCUUUAACAAAAUUUAAAUUGCUUUGUCACAUUUAACAAGUAAAUAGUAGCAUAGUUUCAUGUAGUCACUAAACACAAUAUAGGCAUGAAAGGCAAUAACAAUGAAGAUAGACCGAACAAAACAUAAACAUGAAGAAUGGAUUAUCUACUAACUCAAACCACAAACAAGGUAAGGCAACAGAGGAUUCAUGACAAUAAAUUAGAAUGAAAGUAGAGAAGGAACAGAAAUGACAGACCUUUUAUAUACAUGGAAAUUUAUUGACUACAAAGAUGUGAGCUCGACGUGAGAAUUCAAACAAAACCGAACCAGGCACGGAGAACUCGCCGACGACCUCGAACAAGGAUCUGGACAAAAAUUAUAGCGACUCGACUAGAUUUGGACAGCUAUUUCGAGUGUAAAGGAAUCGGUUCGAUGGAUGUUUGCGGCUGGUUUUGGACGGCAUUUCAUUGGAUAUCUGGUGCUAAUUUUGGGACAGUUCUUUUGGGAUUUUUGGACUGUUUUUUCAGCAAUUUCGCAGCUGGUUUGGCUCCUCUUUAGAGCUCUUUUGCGGACAGUUUUUGAGGCUAGUUUGGGUGACGUUUUUGGGGUUGAAUUUCAGCUUGGUUUAGGGCUCUUUUCGUGGUGGUUUCGGGUGUUUCAGGGGUGUUUGAGCUGAAGUUUUUGAGGUUGAAAAGCUAUGGAUGAAGCUAGUUUUUGGGUGAAGCAACAACGGGUUUCAGCUACGUUUUCUUUUGGAUGCUUUUGGCUGCUUCUUAUUACUGAUUUUAGA